rnacentral:rRNA from 1 species
UUACACAUGCAAGUCGAACGGUAGCAGGCCUUCGGGUGCUGACGAGUGGCGGACGGGUGAGUAACGCGUAGGAAUCUGCCCUGUAGUGGGGGACAACGUGGGGAAACUCACGCUAAUACCGCAUACGCCCUGAGGGGGAAAGCGGGGGACCUUCGGGCCUCGCGCUAUGGGAUGAGCCUGCGUGGGAUUAGCUAGUUGGUAGGGUAAAGGCCUACCAAGGCGACGAUCCCUAGCCGGCCUGAGAGGGUGGCCGGCCACACUGGGACUGAGACACGGCCCAGACUCCUACGGGAGGCAGCAGUGGGGAAUAUUGGACAAUGGGCGCAAGCCUGAUCCAGCAAUGCCGCGUGUGUGAAGAAGGCCUGAGGGUUGUAAAGCACUUUCAGCGGGGAGGAAAAAGCGAAGGUUAAUACCCUUGGUCUUGACAUUACCCAGAGAAGAAGCACCGGCUAACUCCGUGCCAGCAGCCGCGGUAAUACGGAGGGUGCGAGCGUUAAUCGGAAUUACUGGGCGUAAAGCGUGCGUAGGCGGCUAUUUAAGUCAGAUGUGAAAGCCCCGGGCUUAACCUGGGAACGGCAUUUGAUACUGGGUAGCUAGAGUUUGGUAGAGGGGAGUGGAAUUUCAGGUGUAGCGGUGAAAUGCGUAGAGAUCUGAAGGAACACCAGUGGCGAAGGCGGCUCCCUGGACCAGAACUGACGCUGAGGCACGAAAGCGUGGGUAGCAAACAGGAUUAGAUACCCUGGUAGUCCACGCCGUAAACGAUGCCGACUAGCCGUUGGGUCUUUAAGGAGGCUUGGUGGCGCAGCUAACGCAAUAAGUCGGCCGCCUGGGGAGUACGGCCGCAAGGUUAAAACUCAAAUGAAUUGACGG